rnacentral:rRNA from 1 species
AACGAACGCUGGCGGCAUGCCUAACACAUGCAAGUCGAACGAGGCCCUUCGGGGUUUAGUGGCGCACGGGUGCGUAACGCGUGGGAAUCUGCCCUUUGGUUCGGAAUAACAGCUGGAAACGGCUGCUAAUACCGGAUGAUGACGAAAGUCCAAAGAUUUAUCGCCAGAGGAUGAGCCCGCGUUGGAUUAGGUAGUUGGUGGGGUAAAGGCCUACCAAGCCGACGAUCCAUAGCUGGUCUGAGAGGAUGAUCAGCCACACUGGGACUGAGACACGGCCCAGACUCCUACGGGAGGCAGCAGUGGGGAAUAUUGGACAAUGGGCGCAAGCCUGAUCCAGCAAUGCCGCGUGAGUGAUGAAGGCCCUAGGGUUGUAAAGCUCUUUUACCCGGGAAGAUAAUGACUGUACCGGGAGAAUAAGCCCCGGCUAACUCCGCG